CAUAUUUGUCUGUAAUUAAAAAUUCUAAAUUAACUUUUUAGAAUUAAUUUGUGUGAUAUUGAUAAUGUUUUCCACGUAUAUUUUGCAUAUUAUAGUGAUUUUUGUCGUUCCGUAUCAAUGUUUCAUACAAAUUUUUUACUUCCAUCGCAACGCACGAGCACAUAUCUAUACUAUAUAUUGUUAACAAGGGCCAAGCAUUGCUUAUGGAUUGUGGGGAAUGGAACCACUCUGUUCAACAAUCUGACUGUUGACUUGAUGGAUCAGAUUAUGGAUUUUCCUGUUGACCCAAUCAUGGCAGCUAAGGCCUAUAAGUAUAAAGCAGAAAUACUUCUUAAGGAAUACUUGCUAGCAGAUUCAUAUGUUCUAUACACUUCUGUGCUCGCGGGGCUUCUGAUGUGCAACCAAGAUCAAGAUUGGGAUCAAUGGGUUCGGUAGGAUCGGAAGGCUGGUGGCCAGGGUGGCCCUACAGAGUGACGAUGUCGAGCUCGUCGUCGUGAACGACCGCUUCAUCAGCACCGACUACAUGCUGGGCUGAUGAGGUGUGAAAUAUGUGUGGUGGUUUCGGCGUGGGAGGACCGC